rnacentral:rRNA from 1 species
UACGUAGGUGGCAAGCGUUAUCCGGAAUUAUUGGGCGUAAAGAGCUCGUAGGCGGCCUGUUGCGUCCGCUGUGAAAGCCCGGGGCUUAACCCCGGGUCGGCAGUGGAUACGGGCAGGCUAGAGGUAGGUAGGGGAGAAUGGAAUUCCCGGUGUAGCGGUGAAAUGCGCAGAUAUCGGGAGGAACACCGGUGGCGAAGGCGGUUCUCUGGGCCUUACCUGACGCUGAGGAGCGAAAGCGUGGGGAGCGAACAGG